rnacentral:ncRNA from 1 species
UGCGAAGCCGGCCUCGAGAUGAGACCUCCCACCGCAUCAAGCGGGUAAGACCCCUGAGAGAACAUCAGGUUGAUAGGCCGGAAGUGGAAGCGCAGUGAUGCGCUCAGCUGACCGGUACUAAUCGGUCGAGGGCUUGAUUCG